GUGGAGCUAGGGCAGUAGUCUGCCAGGAGGGCAGUUGCCAGAGGUGCUUGUUAUGCCUGUUUGUUAGCUGCCCGGAGCAGCUUUUGGUGGGAGGAUGCUGAUGCAAGGCAUUUGGAGGGGAGGCUGGUAGGAGGUGCAGAGGCAGGCGCCACCCACACCCUCCACUGCCAGGGGAGGCAUGUGCUCCUGGGAGAGGGGGUGGAGGUAAAAAUGGGACUUUAUUGGGAAGCUGCAAAAAGCAAGGGUGGGGGGGAGUGGUAAGCAAGAAGGUGCAGAGGGAGACGCAGGAUGAAUGUGUCUGGCUUAAGUUAGGCAGUUGCAGUCCCGAAUUUCAUUUAUCUAAAUUAUACUGUGGGCUAAAGGGCCCUCUUGCUUUGGACUAACUAGUUGUUAGGAGCCUGUUCCUUUGCUUCGCUGUCAGUGUCACCUCAGGACAGCGUGCCUGGUUUAUAUAAAACUUGCUCAAUGCGUCUCAAAGACCCCUAAAAAAUUUCAAAUGGAGGUGUGGGUGCCUUUGGAAAUUUUGAAUGGAGGUGCAGACCGUUUUGUAUUGUAGGACUACAAGUUCUGAUGUGGCUUCAAACUUGGAAGGCAGGCAUAUGGGUGAAAUAUUUACUGAUGGCCCCAGAGUUCUGGGGCAAGAUUUUCAGUAAGCUAAUGGAUAACAUCAUGAUGCAAGUGCUGGAGAAGAACAAAGAGACUCUCUAGCCUGAAGGAAAUGCAGAGGGAUGUACUACAAACCAAAGCAAUUGUUUUAUGGUUUUCCCACCAACAGAUGAAACAGGAAAUCAAUGACCAGUACAGGAGAGGCAGAAUGAACAUGGGGUGAAUUUGUGAGCCAUAAUUCACUAACCUACACACAAAAGACAUCAUGCCAAACUACCCCAGCCAUAAAAGAAACCUUGUCUUGGGGGCAGGCUGCUAUUAUUCAUGAACAGAUGGCUGCUUUCCAGUUCGUAAAAAUACUUCUGGAUACCUCUCCCCAAAUGUAGUGCAUUUACUCCAAAUUAUGUCUGCUCAGCAAUAUGCAAGAUUGAGUUUUGCACUAGCAAGUGUUUUUUAUUAUACUUAAAAUGAUGACUGCUUUAAAACUUGAUAUUUGAAGCUCCUGCAGCUCUAGAAACAAGAGUUUGUAUACAAUUGGGAAGAGCCGUUUUCUGCUCCCUGUCGGAACAUAGCAGUCAACUCUAAGCCUGGGAGAACUCAAGAUGCUAAAUCUGAAAAGUCAUUUUUUUUAAUAUGUAGCAAAGCUAUUCAAGAGGUUUUAAUAGCUUCCUAUGAGUUCUAUAUAACUGCAUUCAUGAUAACUAAGGCAAUUGGAUUUGCAGGUAAAGUGAUUUAAAUAUACAGUCUCAAUUUUUUAAACUCUGAAACAUUACUACAAUAGAUUUUCUGCUACACGUAUACACACAAAGUAUAUAAUGACAUGCAUUCUGCCAGCACUUGUUUGAGGUAAUCAGCAUAACCCUCAUGAUGAGCAAAAUUGCUAUCUCAAAUUCUGCUGAUGAAACCUUAACACUACACCUUCCACACACAAUAUAUUUUUGUGUUAAGUUUGAGAGAGGAGAGCUUUAUUGUAAAAUUACAAAAGAAGCAGUCUCUUCUUCAGAUCAGCAGUGGUGCCAGUGACCUUCUAAUGGCCAUUUUCUUCAUUUGCUCUUAGCCCUCACUUGAGUUUGUCACCUACACUCUGGGUGUAACCUGGCUGGAUGUUUGGUCUUUGAUGUUCCCCUGAUUUGAAGAAGAAUAGAUACAAUAGGGUUUGUGCUGACAAGUAUAAGGUUGAACUGCUUUUGUAAAGUGGCAACUAACUGUUCAGACUUCUUCACAGAAAGAUCCUUGAUGGUACAGGACUGUAUUUGGGUUUUAUACGUACAUGAACUUGCACCAGAUAAAUUAAAUUGCUUUAAAUUCACACCAUGUUUUAUUUUGGUGGAAAUGGCUGGGUAGAUACCCUUUGCAACAUAAGUGUUUUAGUUUAAUUUAACAAACUGAUUUAAAAAAAAGUACUUCUGAAAUAGGCCACCUUUGUUCCAAAACAAGAGUUGCCACACAGACUUGUACUGAAAUACCAAAAUGUGUGAACUAAACCUGUUUAGUUGUUAUAGCUCAAAUUUGUAUAUUUAUCUAUGCUGUUCCUGGAUUCCUGUGAUCAGAGACCUGACAAAGAAUGUUUUGCAUUUGACAGCUUGUCUGACUUUAUCCCAACUACAUAGUUGGUCCAAUAAAAGCCAUCAC